UACGGAGGGUGCGAGCGUUGUCCGGAAUCACUGGGCGUAAAGGGCGCGUAGGCGGCUCAUGAAGGCUGUGGUGAAAGUCCGGGGCUCAACCUCGGAUCGGCCGUGGCGACUCGUGGGCUGGAGCACUGUAGAGGCGGGUGGAAUUCCGGGUGUAGCGGUGGAAUGCGUAGAGAUCCGGAAGAACACCAGUGGCGAAGGCGGCCCGCUGGGCAGUGGCUGACGCUGAAGCGCGACAGCGUGGGGAGCAAACGAGG
rnacentral:rRNA from 1 species